GGUACUACAUAGAUCUCACCCCUUUUAACACACACACACACACACACACACACACACUUUCCCAGCAAAAGAGGCUUUUAACAGGCUAACACAACAUAAACCCUGAGUACACUAACAUGCAGAAAGGCAACAGAAAACUUCCAUACUGGACAGGGAGAAGGGGCUUCAAAGAUAGCAGAAAGAGUGCAGAUGAAGUGUAAAAGAGGAUUUCCCCUCUGAAGUUGAAGAGUUGUUAUUUGCUAAGAUUGUCCUUCUCUGAAGAUGCCUGUGAAUCAGAUUGCUGGGCAAAAGUAACUUGAUGGAAAAUAUUUGAAAGAACUGGAAGGAGGGAAGUAUGAUGUUUUGCUUCUGGUCAGAAUUUCCCUACAAAAUUAGUACAUGUGAGGAUUGCUUUUGCUCCACUCUUCUGAGGAAGAAGAAACUGAGUUAUCAUGUGAAUUGCUUGCUCCCUGUCAAAAAGCUGAUGUGACAACUCUAGCUUUGCUAUUACAAGGCAUGGAGAGAAGACAAUCUUGUCAAUUAGUUGUCACUGGACCCUUGUGUUCAGCUGAUAUUGGGAGUCGAGAGGCUAAGAUGGGACAGUCUAUUUUCCCAGACCCCUCCUCACCUUGGUGCCCAGAAUAAGACGAAAGCCAGGCAGCUGGCCCUUCCUCUCCAGGAGGCUGAGCAGGUGCUCCUGGAAGACGCCGACCCGGGUGAAGAAUUGGCCAUUGCGCCAGCAGCCUUCCAUGUUGUCGAAGUCCACUCCCAGCGGCUGGAGGAAGCGGACGCUGCGGGGGUCCAGCGCAAUCUGCUGCGGGCGCCCCAGCAGCGGACCCCGCGCGCACGCGUCCAGCACGGUCAGCUUCAGCACCCGGCUCGAGCGGACAGCGACGAGAGCCGCGGUCAGCCCCACCGGCCCUGCGCCCACCACCAGGACGGUCGCGUGCGCUCGCCGCCGCCGCAGCACGUCCACGGCCGCCUUGACCACCACCAGCACCAGUACUGCCAGCAGCGUGCCCAGCACUGCGUCCAGCGCCUCGGCGUCGUCGGACCCCGUGGUGCCCGCGCCCAUGGCCCCGACCUCCUUCCCCAGACCUGCCCGGGGUUGUCCCUGGGGAUCCUGUGCUGAGCCACUCCCCGGGGCAGGGCCCCACCCCUUCGGUCUGGACACACCGCCCACUUUGUAGCUCUCUCGGGCCCCUAGGGAUGUUAGCGGAGAGAGCCCCAAACACAUAAAAAGUUCCAGAAGGGGUUGCUGAUAAGUAUACUCCUUCAGUGGGCUAAGGGCUCUAGUCACCUUUGAAGUUUGUCUUUUUGAUGUCGCUUGAUAUCUUCUAGAGCCUCUUCGUUGUUCCCCUUACUUUAUUUAAAAGUUCGUUUGUCGUGGUUUGCAAUUGUAUGUUCUUUCGAUAAUUUUUUAUGUAAUGCUGGUCUCCAUCUGUUUUUGUUACUCACUAUAUUCCAAGUUCCUAGCACAGCUUGGAUUUGUGUAACCCAAAUGAAUAUACAAAUGUAGUAAUAAUGUUAUCUGUUACCUGUUACCUGUGGGGCUUCCUCCAAGCCACCUCUCCCCCCAGCCAUCCAGUCUUUUUCUUAGCUUAAUCGAAUAAUUAAUAUUUGUCAAAUCAACUAUUACCAAAAAAAAUUUAACUGUGUUUAUUUUUAAUCCUAACAAUUUUCUGAAGUGAAUAUUAUGAGCCACCUUAUUAUUUUUCUUUUGAUGGCUUAUUUACAAAUUGGGAGAGUAUUCAGUGAGGUAAAAUGACUUGUUCCAGGUCACAGAGCAUGGAUGCUGAUAUUCAGAGCUAGAACUGACUGACUGACUCCAAAGUUGGUGGCGUUACAGGGCAUACUGGUUCUUUCAUUUGCACAGUCCUUUUGGACUUUUGCACCAUGACACAAAGUACCUGAAAUUAUUCCUACCCUUUAAUUCAAUAAUUCCACUUCCAGAAAUCUAUCUUAACAAGAAAUAAAAAUCUAAAGUAAAAA
rnacentral:lncRNA from 1 species